GACGUAGGGUGCGAGCGUGAAUCGGAAUUACUGGGCGUAAAGCGUGCGCAGGCGGUUCGUUAAGGCAGAUGUGAAAGCCCCGGGCUCAACCUGGGAACUGCAUUUGAAACUGGCGGGCUUGAGUGUGGCAGAGGGGGGUGGAAUUCCGCGUGUAGCAGUGAAAUGCGUAGAGAUGUGGAAGAACACCGAUGGCGAAGUCAGCCCCCUGGGAUGACACUGACGCUCAUGCUCGAAAGCGUGGGGAGCAAACAGG
rnacentral:rRNA from 1 species